UGGGGAAUAUUGGGCAAUGGACGCAAGUCUGACCCAGCGACGCCGCGUGCGGGAUGAAGGCCUUCGGGUUGUAAACCGCUUUCAGUAGGGAAGAAGCGAAAGUGACGGUACCUACAAAAGGAAGCACCGGCUAACUAUGUG
rnacentral:rRNA from 1 species